rnacentral:rRNA from 1 species
GACGAACGCUGGCGGCGUGCCUAAUACAUGCAAGUCGAACGAACUCUGGUAUUGAUUGGUGCUUGCAUCAUGAUUUACAUUUGAGUGAGUGGCGAACUGGUGAGUAACACGUGGGAAACCUGCCCAGAAGCGGGGGAUAACACCUGGAAACAGAUGCUAAUACCGCAUAACAACUUGGACCGCAUGGUCCGAGCUUGAAAGAUGGCUUCGGCUAUCACUUUUGGAUGGUCCCGCGGCGUAUUAGCUAGAUGGUGGGGUAACGGCUCACCAUGGGAAUGAUACGUAGCCGACCUGAGAGGGUAAUCGGCCACAUUGGGACUGAGACACGGCCCAAACUCCUACGGGAGGCAGCAGUAGGGAAUCUUCCACAAUGGACGAAAGUCUGAUGGAGCAACGCCGCGUGAGUGAAGGAGGGUUUCGGCUCGUAAAACUCUGUUGUUAAAGAAGAACAUAUCUGAGAGUAACUGUUCAGGUAUUGACGGUAUUUAACCAGAAAGCCACGGCUAACUACGUGCCAGCCGCCGCGGUAA